GCCUUUGGAGCACCAGAUGAUAUUACAGGAGCCUCAAGUCACAUCCUGAAGACCACAGCUAGCAGGCUGAAGAAGUAGGAUGUACAUCCAACUGUUCCAACAGUAAUCUGCCCACUGCCCUAGAAAAAGCCCACUCUCCCUUCAUUGGAUUGGGAAGACCAUAUUAGCGACCCAUGUGGUCCAGCAAGGUUUAACUAACAGCCCAAGGAAAUCAGCAGCAAUCUUGUGCAGAGAAGAACUCUAGGAGACUAAAUAAGGAAAACCAG